GUCAUUAAUAAACUGUCAGCUACGAAAUUUGCAUCAUAAUUCUUUUUAUUGUAAAAUCUUCCUCCUCACAAACCCAAAGUACACAUAUCUAAAUAAGAAACCGUCCGCUACAAGUAGUAAUCAUUAAGUUAAAACGGGAGGCCUUCAGGCUUGAGGAUUGCGUCAGGGGAUUUCAAAGUGCUGUUGUAUGUUGGGUUCAGAGGAUGAAGAGGCCCAAUAGCACUGACCGCUGACUUGGCUUCAUCGUUGCCCAGCACAUGGUGGGUUCCAUCACCGGAGCGCAGAAUUCUGUUUCUUAUCUGAAAUAUUUUACACUACGCUUAGACUGGGUGAUGUGAGGUGAAAACCUGGUGGUCCAGUCUGCCGCACACCGCAACUGCGGCUUCAAUCCAACUUACAGUUAGUUUCAGCAUCAAGGUCGCACUUUGAUGCUAUAGUGCUCCCCCGACAACGGAAUGUAUUGACCUGCUUAAGUAUUAACCGAAACUCCGACGAGACUCGUGAAUAGUGAUCAAACGUUGUGGCAGACCUUCUGGGAAGGAGGCAAUGGAACGGGAGAAAGAGUGCUCGUGUUCCUUCUCGGCACCCUGCCGCCGCGAAGUUGGGAAACUGAGGAGGGCAUUCAACCCUCCGGACCUUGUGAGAAGGCAAUUUCCAAGCAGUGGCAGUCGUCGUCAGACGUUCUGUGGAAGAGCAACUUGAUUUGCAGUGUAUCACGUUCCGACCCGGUGAGGUGUCCCGGGAUAACAGGGGGACCGCCCAGGCGGUCUGACUGCCGUACCGCGGAGACUAUAGAGAUAGCUUUGCAUUUUUCAGUUUCAAUUUUAUGUUGCAAUGUUAUAUAGUCUAUAUACCUACUUAUCUGAAUAUUGGUUCAAUCAAUGUAGGCAUAGUAAAAAGUUAACAGAACAACAAAAAACAUUCGGGUAUUUUCAUUUUGUGUAAAUAAUUUUAUUAAUUGACUUAGUUGCGGUCUCGGUGAGCAAAAAUGUAUCUGGGGAAUUUUCGAUUUUUAAUUAGCAUAAGACUUUGUUUUCUUUAAAAUGAACGGAAAGUACAAAUGUGUAAUUUAUUUUAUAUAAACUAUAUCAAGUAAUAAUUAAGUCAUUAAGUUUGUAAAUUCAAAUAUGUAACUUCUUUCACCAAUUGCGCCAAGCAUUUAAAUAACUUCACAUCUUAUAUCAUAUUAUUCGAGGCGUUAUACUAAUCUAAAUACAAAAAUAAAAUAAAAAACAGAAUUAAUAUGUAUAUUAUCCAGCAAUAUUUCCUCUUAUAACAUCACUAAUAAAUAAAAAAUAAAUA